rnacentral:rRNA from 1 species
AACGAACGCUGGCGGCAGGCUUAACACAUGCAAGUCGAGCGAGACCUUCGGGUCUAGCGGCGGACGGGUGAGUAACGCGUGGGAACGUGCCCUUCUCUACGGAAUAGCCCCGGGAAACUGGGAGUAAUACCGUAUACGCCCUUUGGGGGAAAGAUUUAUCGGAGAAGGAUCGGCCCGCGUUGGAUUAGGUAGUUGGUGGGGUAAUGGCCCACCAAGCCGACGAUCCAUAGCUGGUUUGAGAGGAUGAUCAGCCACACUGGGACUGAGACACGGCCCAGACUCCUACGGGAGGCAGCAGUGGGGAAUCUUAGACAAUGGGGGCAACCCUGAUCUAGCCAUGCCGCGUGAGUGAUGAAGGCCUUAGGGUUGUAAAGCUCUUCAGCUGGGAAGAUAAUGACG